UCGAGAUGACUGAUAAAGUGCACGAGUCUAUCGGAGAUCCGAGUUUCGAUCCGGAAAAUGCGAUUAAAUCAUCGUCAAGGGUCUUGACAACUGUUGUGGGGCAGUGUUGGGUUCCUAUCCGAGAGGCCAGCCACCUCUAUGAUUCCUGGACCGGGUUCCAGAUGAUCUGUGGCACUGUGGGAUCCCUGUUGUCUGAGUGGAGUGGACCCGUGCAGAGAGGAUGAAAUGUCAAAGACUGGUCCAUGAGGGCGCUGCAGAGGCGGAGCUCAGAGGGUGGGAGGAGGGACAGCCCCGUCUGAAGCAAGCAUGAUCCUAUUGGAUAAAAUUCAGCCAACCAGAUGAUUUUGUUACUUGUGUCGAUGAUUGCCAUUUAAUGUCACAACAAAGCAGAGUGUGAGACGCAUCAGCAAUCAGAGGUCACAUGACAGGUCAUAUGACAGAGGUCACAUGACAAGGAUUGUGGCUGAUGUUCAUCUUUGGACGUCACAACACAGGAACGCUGGUGGGUCCCCAGUGUCACCAAUGUCUG